CCCAGUGUGGCAUAGUGGUUUCAGUGUUGGACUACAACUCUGGAGACCAGGAUUCGAUUCCCAGCUCAGCCA